GUGUAAACUUCGGACGUGAGAGAUUGCAGCCCUGCAAGGACUAGGCUACUGCAAAGAGGCGAAGCAACAUAGAGAGAGUAAGGAAGAUGAAGAUUAUGAAAGAGGAGAGACAGCCAGAGGUGGAGAGAGAGCCAGAGGUGGUGGUUGGAGAGGUGGAAAGUGAGGCAUCUGAAAGGCAAUCUGAGAGUGAGGAUGAAGACAUUCAGGAUCAGAUUGAGGGACAGAAUGAGGGACAACCCAACAAGUCAUUGGGACAACCAGAUUCACCAUGCAUAUCAAGUACAGCACCAUCAGGGUCACACAAGCUGGAGCCUAUCCCAGCUGACUACGGGCGAAAGGCGGGGUUCACCCUGGACAAGUCGCCAGGUCAUCACAGGGCUGACACAUAGACACAGACAACCAUUCACACUCACAUUCACACCUAUGGUCAAUUUAGAGUCACCAGUUAACCUAACCUGCAUGUCUUUGGACUGGGGGGGAAACCGGAGCACCCGGAGGAAACCCAUGCGGACACGGGGAGAACAUGCAAACUCCACACAGAAAGGCCCUCGCCGGCCCCGGGGCUCGAACCCAGGACCUUCUUGCUGUGAGGCGACAGCGCUAACCAUUACACCACCGUGCCGCCAAUUAA